rnacentral:rRNA from 1 species
CCUACGGGUGACAGCAGUGAGGAAUAUUGGUCAAUGGACGCAAGUCUGAACCAGCCAUGCCGCGUGCAGGAUGACGGCUCUAUGAGUUGUAAACUGCUUUUGUACGAGGGUAAACCCCGAUACGUGUAUCAGGUUGAACGUAUCGUUCGAAUAAGGAUACGCUAACUCCGUGCCAGCAGCCGCGGUAAUACGGAGGGUCCGAGCGUUAUCCGGAUUUAUUGGGUUUAAAGGGUGCGUAGGCGGUUUGAUAAGUUAGAGGUGAAAUGUCGGGGCUCAACCCCGAAACUGCCUCUAAUACUGUUGGACUAGAGAAUGGUUGCGGUAGGUGGAAUGUAUGGUGUAGCGGUGAAAUGCUUAGAGAUCAGGAAGAACACCGAUUGCGAAGGCAGCCUACCAGACUAUAUCUGACGUUGAGGCACGAAAGCGUGGGUAGCAAACAGGAUUAGAUACCCGAGUAGUC